rnacentral:lncRNA from 10 species
CAGUUAAGGAGGCGCUGUCCUGGCGUCGGAUGGGGACGGGGAACGCGGCGAGGGCGCUGCGACCUCUGCCCACCUGGCCCGGCCGCAGUCUCGGAGUUCCUGUUCCUCACAGGAGCUAAUUAUUUAUGACAGCUGCAUGGUUCCCCUCCCCCAGUUACUCAGUGCUUGGCACUCGGCACCCCUUACUCAGCACUCAGUACCGCACUCGGCCUCAGGGGACCUGGGCAGAGGGAAGCAGGGAGUCUCCCGCGGAAACUCUUGCUCUGCCAAAGUGUGAUGUGAUCUGACUGCUGCUCAGGGCCUGGACAGCAAAUGAGGAAGACUUAUUGCAGAAAUUCAGAGCCUAGUGACCUGGACCAGGGUGGAGGCAGCAGAGGAGGUGAGAGGCGGUCGGUUUCUGAAUGCAUUUUGAAAGGAGGAUUUCCUAUCAGGAUUUCCUAUCACAUGGGGAUGUGGUCAGAAAAAGAGAAAGACAGGGAGGGCUCCAAGGCAUCUGCCUUAGCAGCCAGAAGGACAGUUGCAUCACCAAAGGGGGGGAAGGCUGCAGUUAGAACAAGUUUUGGAGAAAAGACACAGAGUUCUUAAAAUGUGAUGAUGACACCUCCUGGCCACCAAGAUAUGCUGUGUGGAUAUGAAGUUUCAUUUCAUAUCAGAAGAACAUGGCUGGCAAUAAACAUUUAAAAAUAUGUUUCAUCUCAACAAUACCCAGGACAUGCAAAUUGAAACCUAAAUGAAGUACCUUUUCACUUUCAUUGGGUGGGCAAAAUUCUUCUAAUUUGACAAUAUUGAGUGUCACAAGAAUGUGGAACAGUAGAAAUUCUGUGCCACUGGAGGUCGUGUGAACCAAUAUGAUAUCUCUGUAAAUAAUUUGGCAUUAUCCAGUAAAGCUGAAGAUAAGCAACUAGCAGUUGCACUCCUACCCAUGUAUCCUAGAAAAGCUCUUGAGCAUGUACACCAAGAGAUGUGAAUGAGAAUCCCCACAGCUGUGCCACUUGAACUAGCAGAAGUCUACAAAUAGCCCAGCUGUCUAUCCACGGUGGAAUGGGUAAAUAAACUGAUAUGUUCGUGGGACAGAAUGCGAUUCUGAAAAAUUAGUGAACAAUAGCUGCAAGCAGCAAUACAGAUGAAUCUCUAAAACAAAGUGUUGACCAAAAGAAAGUACCAGAAGAAGACACACAGUGACUCCAUUUAGGUAAAGUUCAAAACCACACAAAACAAUAUACUAUUGUAUUAUUCCAUUCUCACACUACUACAAAGAUACUACCCAAGACUGGGUAAUUUAUAAACAAAGGAAGUUUAAUUGACUCACAGUUCCACAUGGCUUGAGAGGCCUCAGGAAACUUACAAUCAUGGCAGAAGGGGAAGCAGGC